UUAAAAGUUAAAUCAAGCCUUCAUUCUUCUCAGGUGAAAACACUGAAAUCCCCCAUAAUUAACAGUGGAUAAAUAACAGAGGAUUUUCCCCUACAAUCUGAAGAGCUGAGAGGAUCAGGAGGUCAGUGUGAUGGGCAGAGGGGAGAGCAGAGGUCCUCAGAGCAAACCUGGAGCAGGGCUCAGGGAAGCACAAGGGGUCUGCCCUGGUGUUUGCAGAUUCAUCGUGGAUAUUCUCUCACUCCUGGACAAGUUUCAAGGGGCCAUGCUGUAUUUUUGCAGAGGUGAAUUGGGUUUGCAUUCAGAAGAGUAACCUGUCCAAAGUCAGCCCUGAACAGCAACAAACCACAGAGGAAAAAUCUGGUUGUUGAAAAAACAACCACUGCCUAGUGAGGUUUAUGGCUUUAUUCCAUCUUUAAGACUACUGAGCA
rnacentral:lncRNA from 12 species